rnacentral:tRNA from 1 species
GUAAGUAUAGUUUAAUUAAAACGUCAGAUCGUGAUUCUGAAAACAGGGGUUAAACUCCCCUUACUUGCU